UACGUAGGGUGCGAGCGUUGUCCGGAAUUAUUGGGCGUAAAAGAGCUCGUAGGCGGUGUGUCACGUCGGCCGUGAAAAACCUGCAGCUUAACUGUGGGCGUGCGGUCGAUACGGGCAUCACUGGAGUUCGGCAGGGGAGACUGGAAUUCCUGGUGUAGCGGUGAAAUGCGCAGAUAUCAGGAGGAACACCGGUGGCGAAGGCGGGUCUCUGGGCCGAUACUGACGCUGAGGAGCGAAAGCGUGGGGAGCAAACAGG
rnacentral:rRNA from 1 species